rnacentral:rRNA from 1 species
AGUGCGGGUACUAAUACAUGCAAGUCGAGCGGACAGAAGGGAGCUUGCUCCCGGAUGUUAGCGGCGGACGGGUGAGUAACACGUGGGUAACCUGCCUGUAAGACUGGGAUAACUCCGGGAAACCGGAGCUAAUACCGGAUAGUUCCUUGAACCGCAUGGUUCAAGGAUGAAAGACGGUUUCGGCUGUCACUUACAGAUGGACCCGCGGCGCAUUAGCUAGUUGGUGGGGUAAUGGCUCACCAAGGCGACGAUGCGUAGCCGACCUGAGAGGGUGAUCGGCCACACUGGGACUGAGACACGGCCCAGACUCCUACGGGAGGCAGCAGUAGGGAAUCUUCCGCAAUGGACGAAAGUCUGACGGAGCAACGCCGCGUGAGUGAUGAAGGUUUUCGGAUCGUAAAGCUCUGUUGUUAGGGAAGAACAAGUGCGAGAGUAACUGCUCGCACCUUGACGGUACCUAACCAGAAAGCCACGGCUAACUACGUGCCAGCAGCCGCGGUAAUACGUAGGUGGCAAGCGUUGUCCGGAAUUAUUGGGCGUAAAGGGCUCGCAGGCGGUUUCUUAAGUCUGAUGUGAAAGCCCCCGGCUCAACCGGGGAGGGUCAUUGGAAACUGGGAAACUUGAGUGCAGAAGAGGAGAGUGGAAUUCCACGUGUAGCGGUGAAAUGCGUAGAGAUGUGGAGGAACACCAGUGGCGAAGGCGACUCUCUGGUCUGUAACUGACGCUGAGGAGCGAAAGCGUGGGGAGCGAACAGGAUUAGAUACCCGGGGUAGUCC